AGCUGAAGCAAACAUCCUUCUCUAGACUCUGCUGGGCAGAAGUGCAAAUGGGAGGCACUUGUGUGCAAUUAUGACCAAGCUACAACUCUUCUUAUGACAGCCUCAGAGUCCCAUCAGGAUUACAGCAUGGGGCUGCUAUGUGAUUUUAUGUUUAUUUAUAUGCAUAGGACUUGAUUUAAGUACAGCAGCUCAGCAGCAAAACUACCAUUGAUUUAUAGUGUGGGCAAGAGGUCGCAGUGAGAUACACUCUGUGACAUGUGGAUUUGCAGCCUAAACAGAAAGUAGAAGGAAGGGAGCUGAUCUGUAUGGUUGCAGUUAGCUUUGAUGCUGGAGAAAAUGAGCUAUAAAUUAUGCUUCUGGCUGAUGGAGAUGGGCUCUGAGGCUCCAUGGAUGCAGACCUUCAUGAGACAACUGUUCAGAAGACCUAAAAAUAAACACUCAAGUUCAAAUCCUGAAGUUCUUUGCUUUCUUCUUGCCUUGCUCAAAGAGAUCUCCAGGGCAUCUGUGCUGCUCCAGCAUACAUGAUGAAUAACAAUCUGAAUGAUGAAGAAGAUAAGCAGGAAAUAUUUCCACAUCAGAGAAAAUGUCUGACUUGUUAGACUGUCAUUUAAAGAAAUUUCCAUAUAGAAAACAAAUUUUCACAGGGCAGAACUGCACUCAGCAAUGCGGUCUGUAUUCUGCAGAAUGUUCUCUUCACAUCAGCUACAGUGGGGAGCCUGGGGAAAAGCACUGGUUCCUCUUUUAAUAUACUGAAAAUAUUUCUUGAACGUUGCUUCAACCAUUAUUGAAACUGCAACUGUUUCUCCACCCCUCCCUGCAUGUGCUCUCUUUCCCCAAAACUGGGCUGAGCAGUUGAGGAGUGGAGUUAUUAGAGCCUUUAGGAAAUAAAUAAAUAAAUAAAGCAAACCACCACCAAAAAAAAAAAAAAAAGGCCAGAAAUGGGCCUUUGCACUUGCCAAAUCAAAAGGGAAGAUUCAUAGCAAAAUAAGUGGCAUGUCAGAGGAGCAAGAUCUAGUAUGCUGCAGGUGUUAAACACUACUUCUCUCCUGAAGCAGUAUUAUGUGAUAGACACAAUGUCAAGGAGGAGGUUACUGAAAGUUUACAGAGAACCACAUAACCUGGAGAAUGUCCUUUUAGUUCCUGUCAUCCUUGACAAGCACUUUCAUCUCACUGCUCAGCAUCCCUGCUCCUGCAGGAAUGCCUGUCUCUUUUCUUUCAUAUUGAGACAUGCAAACAAGGGAAGGGAAAUUUUUCCUGUUGUAUACACGUUAUGUGAGAAGGGGAAAACCAUACCGGAGAUUGAUUUUGGAGAGCAGAGUCACUCAGUCAGCUCAUGCCUCCCCCACCCAAUUCCUCUAUUGCUGCUGCAGCUGCUUGCUGCUGUGAGCAGGCAGUAGGUUCGUGUGCAGGUGCUCUCCUAGUAACGCAGGUGAUGCUUCUGGCCAUUUACUGUUUAAUUUUGCAGUUUGGGCUUUGCUUGAGCUUGUAACAGAAGUUAUUAACCAAUUGUGUUAUCAGUGUCACCAAGAGUUUCCAGCCUCAUGCAAUAAUCUAUCAUAAAGGCAGACUGCUACCAACCCAACACAAAAUAAAGACCCUCAGGUUGCUGAAAGUAAUUGAUAUAAGCUGUGACUGUGGGCAAGGGGAAUUCUUGCAAAGGAGUGUCAGACUCCUCUGCAGCUCACAUAUGAUAUGGCAUUGAAAUGACUACUUUAGUAAACCACAGAUAGGGGAGCUGCAAAUGUCCCAAAGCUUUUUUCUGCUCCAGAAUCAGGGUGAGCAGGUGGCCAGUGGCCUCUGGUUCAGGCGCAAUAUUUUCGCUGACCCCUAGGAGGGGCAUGUACAUGCGCCAGGUCCCUGCUACUGGAGCAAACUUCGGGCUUGCUCUCUUAUUCACUCUCUCUUCUGUGUGAGUGGAAAAUGAAGAAAACAUUGAAAAAACAACCAUGGCAUUAACACUUGAUACGUUAUGAGGAUCAUCACAGUUGCUUUGGCCUUGUCCCCAUCAUCCGUACCAAUGAAGCAGAGUGAAGGUGGCACAUUCCCAGCCAUGGAGAGACUGCUCUGUGUUCAGGGUGACUGCAGGACAGGAGCGAGGCCUGCAUGGCUGAGAAAAAAAAAAAUGUUCCAGCUCUGCUGCAGAUCUCGGAGAGAGAGGCUGCUCUCUGAAUUCCCUUUUGAGAGAGGAACCUUGUGAUCUCACUCUUUUGUAAAGUAAAUCUUCGUCAGAUUAAAUAUGAAGAUCCCUAUCAGAAGGCACUUGGCUUUGACAAGCCUGACAGAGUCCUAUGUAUCCUAUGGUAAUGGCUGGCAUUGAAAUGAAAAGGACUUGGAUAAUGAAUAAAGAAUAUUUUAGUAGCAUGACUCAUAAGUAAUACAAAGGCAUCUCUGGCAAUGUCUGUACUAAUUACAGACCAGUUGCUAUGUUGUUACAAUCAUGGAUAUUAAGUGUGUGGGAUGCUGAAAUGUGUGGGCAUUCUGCUAAGCUUGAUCUCAGUUCCCUGCAACUAAAAUCCUGUCUGUCCCAGCUGGAAAGUGGGCAAUGUAUGUAGGUGCCUAAAUCCGGGCUGAUGGUGACUAAAUGUGUUUCUUUUUUGUUGUUUGUUUGUUCCUGUCAGUCACAAACUUUCUGAGCUGUCAGAAAAUGUGAAGGUGAUUACAUACAGUCGAAUUUAACAGCUGACAGUCCUGUUGCAGGUUGGUGCUCUGGGUUCUUACCUCAUUGCACAACACUGCCACCAUGCAGCAUUUCCAGAUCGUUUUGGUCAAAGGGUGAGAGAAGCAACAUUUACUAGCCAUGUUCUCUUGGCUCUAGGCAGGCAGAUGUUUGUUUCACUUCCAGGGUUUCAGAGCAUGAGAUAACAUGGGCCGUUGUUUGUGGCUUUGAAACACAGACUCGGGUUCAAAAGGCAGGUAGUAAAUCUUGGAUGGGCAACUUGAAGCUGCUGGAUGGGAAUGAGUGCAAUGGGACAGCUUGCUGAGUGGCUGCCUCUCUAAAGGAUGGGCUUCCUAGUGUGGUUAGAGAGGGAUGGGCUUGUGCAGUGAGAUGUCAAAGUGACUCAAACUUGCAAUUUAGUGAACUCAGAUCCAGGUGUGGAAUUUGUUCCAGUCUCCAUUUCAAUGGUAAAUGAACUGGAAAAUUACCCAAGCUCAAUUUUCUCUUUCCUUCAAGGUUCUCUCUUCCUAGGUCUGGGUGAUUAUUUCCCUGAGUGUCAUCUUCCCUUGCCCAUUCCUGAUCUCUCUGUCAUUCAGACUUGGAGAGUUUCUUCCUCCCUCUUCUGAAAAUGAGGGACUCUCUGUUCAUUUUCCAAAUGCUUUAGGGAUGUGAAACAAAAUAUAUGAAUGCACAGAAUAGUGCUCAAAAGCUGUCCUGUCUUGACAAUACUAUGGGAGUCUUAGAGGUGAAGAUUUUUGUACUUAAGUGGUGUGCAGUGAGGAAGGCGGUCCCUGUGCUGGGAAACCUGUGCACAGAAAAUACAUCUAUGGCUAUUAACUAUCCGUGGCUACCAUAAGAUAAUGUUUUAAAAUCAUCUGAAGCAUGCCAGAAAGCUAAAAGCUUGCAGACUACAUCAGGUAAGGAGAAUAAAAGAUGUAUGUAUGAUUUGGGGAAAUGGGAGGAAGGGAGGUUUUGUUUUUGGAUUAAUGUCUUCAGUAACAGAGCACAGAGACAGGAAAGAAAAUUCCUGUUGUACUGUGACCACCUUCUCUAAUCACACUAAUGGGGCUGUAAUGAAAAUAACAUUUAGCCUGUCAUUACUCCCCAUGUGAUGCUCCCCUAGAUUCCCUACUUUGUUGCCAACAUUCAGGCUAACAAAACCAGGGAUAUUUUUCAAACAUCUCGGUUGUAAUAAAGAGAACAAGCUGCCAGCAGACUUCGCUAGAAUGCAUUUGCUUUGGCAUCAACUCUCACAUGCUGUAUGGUACAGGGUGCCAGCAGAGGCUGAGUUGGAGUAUACAUACAGGGCUCUGCAGGGCCCAACUUUGCUGCUGCCCAGGGACUGGCGAGGGGACAGGCCCUUAACAGCACAGCAUGCUUUGCUGGGUCUCUCCUGAAGCUCUUUAGCACUUUGUGUCUCUUUAAGCCAUCAGGGUACUGCAGAGAUUCACAGAUUAUGCUGUGAAUAAUUCACAAUGAAACUGAGAAUGUUCCCUCUUCUAAUAUCUGAUCACUGUUUGUGUAAAGUAUCCUUCUUAUUUGGCAGAUUCACUAUACCACAGUUUUCAAUGCACUUUUUUUUUUUUUUUUUUUUUUUUAAGUUAACUAGAACAUGCCAUCUUUGUAAACUCCACUGUGAGCACCAACAGCUUGUUAGAUCCUCUGCAGGUUGAAGCUGGCAUGUACUUCCUUCCUUCACUAUUUCCCCUUAAAGGUAGACAAGCUUAGGCCAACCACAAGAAUAUUUUCCUGCUAUUCUUACAAGCAUAUCUCAACUAUAUAGCCACAAAAUCACCAUAACUUUUGUUUUUGUUUUAGAAAAUGUAAUUUCCCAUAUACAAUGAAAUGAAUAUUUGCAACUAUGGCAAUUACACAGUCUAUUAUUUAGCUCCCGAAUGCAUGCACAAAGUAUACUGGAGAAUGCUUUGCCCAACACCUUAAUCAG